rnacentral:rRNA from 1 species
ACAUGCAAGUCGAACGGCAGCAUGUUCUAACUUCGGUUGGAAUGAUGGCGAGUGGCGGACGGGUGAGUAACGCGUAGGAAUCUACCUAGGAGUGGGGGAUAACUCGAGGAAACUCGAGCUAAUACCGCAUACCCUCUAAGGAGAAAAGCUGGGGACCUUCGGGCCUGGCGCUUUUAGAUGAGCCUGCGUCAGAUUAGCUUGUUGGUAGGGUAAAGGCCUACCAAGGCAACGAUCUGUAGCUGAUUUGAGAGGAUGAUCAGCCACACUGGGACUGAGACACGGCCCACACUCCUACGGGAGGCAGCAGUGGGGAAUUUUGGACAAUGGGCGAAAGCCUGAUCCAGCAAUGCCGCGUGUGCGAUGACGGCCUUCGGGUUGUAAAGCACUUUCAGUUGUGAAGAAAUGUACACGGUUAAUACCCGUGUAAGCCUGACGUUAACAACAAAAGAAGCACCGGCUAACUCUGUGCCAGCAG